GAUGAACGCUGGCGGCGUGCCUAACACAUGCAAGUCGAGCGAAGCGCUUAAAUUAGCUUUCUUCGGAAUGACGAUUUUUGUGACUGAGCGGCGGACGGGUGAGUAACGCGUGGGUAACCUGCCUCAUACAGGGGGAUAACAGUUAGAAAUGACUGCUAAUACCGCAUAAGACCCCAGCUUCGCAUGAAGCGGUGGUAAAAACUCCGGUGGUAUGAGAUGGACCCGCGUCUGAUUAGCUAGUUGGUAAGGUAACGGCUUACCAAGGCGACGAUCAGUAGCCGACCUGAGAGGGUGACCGGCCACAUUGGGACUGAGACACGGCCCAGACUCCUACGGGAGGCAGCAGUGGGGAAUAUUACACAAUGGGGGAAACCCUGAUGCAGCGACGCCGCGUGAAGGAUGAAGUAUUUCGGUAUGUAAACUUCUAUCAGCAGGGAAGAAAGUGACGGUACCUGACUAAGAAGCCCCGGCUAACUACGUG
rnacentral:rRNA from 1 species